rfam:Dipodomys ordii contig_32957, whole genome shotgun sequence.
GGUUGCUCAGUGGUAGAGUGCUUGCCUUGCAUGCAUGAGGCCCUGGGUUCGAUUCCUCAGUACCA